UCCGGUUUGUCACCGGCAGUCUCCUUAGAGUUCCCGCCAUUACGCGCUGGCAACUAAGGACAAGGGUUGCGCUCGUUACGGGACUUAACCCAACAUCUCACGACACGAGCUGACGACAGCCAUGCACCACCUGUGCACGGCCCUUACGGACCCGACAUCUCUGCCGGAUUUCCGUGCAUGUCAAGCCUAGGUAAGGUUCUUCGCGUUGCAUCGAAUUAAGCCACAUGCUCCGCCGCUUGUGCGGGCCCCCGUCAAUUCCUUUGAGUUUCACCGUUGCCGGCGUACUCCCCAGGUGGAUGACUUAACGAUUUCUCUAAGCCGCUGACUGUAUAUCGCCAACAGCGAGUCAUCAACGUUUACAGUGUGGACUAC
rnacentral:misc_RNA from 1 species